CACGUAGGGGGCGAGCGUUGUCCGGAUUCAUUGGGCGUAAAGAGCUCGUAGGCGGCUCAGCAAGUCGGGUGUGAAACCUCCAGGCUCAACCUGGAGACGCCACUCGAUACUGCUGUGGCUAGAGUCCAGUAGGGGAGCGUGGAAUUCCUGGUGUAGCGGUGAAAUGCGCAGAUAUCAGGAGGAACACCAACGGCGAAGGCGGCGCUCUGGGCUGGAACUGACGCUGAGGAGCGAAAGCGUGGGGAGCAAACAGG
rnacentral:rRNA from 1 species